UGCAGUCGACGCUUCUUUUUCACCGAACUUCGGUUCAUCGAAAAAGAGGAGUGGCGAACGGGUGAGUAACACGUGGGUAACCUGCCCAUCAGAAGGGGAUAACACUUGGAAACAGGUGCUAAUACCGUAUAAUGCUAUUUCUCGCAUGAGAGACAGCUGAAAGGCGCUUUUGCGUCACUGAUGGAUGGACCCGCGGUGCAUUAGCUAGUUGGUGAGGUAACGGCUCACCAAGGCCACGAUGCAUAGCCGACCUGAGAGGGUGAUCGGCCACACUGGGACUGAGACACGGCCCAGACUCCUACGGGAGGCAGCAGUAGGGAAUCUUCGGCAAUGGACGAAAGUCUGACCGAGCAACGCCGCGUGAGUGAAGAAGGUUUUCGGAUCGUAAAACUCUGUUGUUAGAGAAGAACAAGGAUGAGAAGAGAAUGUUCAUCCCUUGACGGUAUCUAACCAGAAAGCCACGG
rnacentral:rRNA from 1 species